rnacentral:rRNA from 1 species
UGGGGAAUCUUGCGCAAUGGGCGAAAGCCUGACGCAGCAACGCCGCGUGCGGGAAGAAGGCCCUCGGGUUGUAAACCGCUUUCAGAAGGAACGAAACUGACGGUACUUUCAGAAGAAGGUGCGGCCAACUACGUGCCAGCAGCCGCGGUGACACGUAGGCACCAAGCGUUGUCCGGAUUUAUUGGGCGUAAAGAGCUCGUAGGCGGUUCAGUAAGUCGGGUGUGAAAACUUUGGGCUCAACCCAAAGCGUGCAUCCGAUACUGCUGUGACUGGAGUUCGGUAGGGGAGCGGGGAAUUCCUAGUGUAGCGGUGAAAUGCGCAGAUAUUAGGAGGAACACCGGUGGCGAAGGCGCCGCUCUGGGCCGAUACUGACGCUGAGGAGCGAAAGCGUGGGUAGCAAACAG